AGCAGCCGCGGUAAUUCCAGCUCCAAUAGCGUAUAUUAAAGUUGUUGCAGUUAAAAAGCUCGUAGUUGAAUUUCGGGGUCAGUAGGUUGGUCGUGCCACUGGUAUGCACUGGUUCUACUGAUCCCUCCUUCUUGUAGAACCGUAAUGCCAUUAAUUUGGUGUUGCGGGGAAACAGGACUGUUACUUUGAAAAAAUUAGAGUGUUUAAAGCAGGCUAACGCUUGAAUACAUUAGCAUGGAAUAAUGAAAUAGGACGUUCGAUCCUAUUUUGUUGGUUUCUAGGAUUGACGUAAUGAUUAAUAGGGAUAGUUGGGGGCAUUAGUAUUCAAUUGUCAGAGGUGAAAUUCUUGGAUUUAUUGAAGACUAACUACUGCGAAAGCAUUUGCCAAGGAUGUUUUCAUUAAUCAAGAACGAAAGUUAGGGGAUCGAAGACGAUCAGAUACCGUCGUAGUCUUAACCAUAAACUAUGCCGACUAGGGAUCGGAUGAUGUUAAUUUUUUAAUGACUCA
rnacentral:rRNA from 1 species